CAGAUACGGAGCUAAUUCUGGUCAGGUUGAUCUUGUGGUUUGAAGGUGGUGACUUUUCUAGCCUCUGCAUACGCUAAGUUUCAUCACGGAUCAGGAGAUGCUGAUGGUCCAUGGUUGUUUUUUUUUCAGGAUAAGGAGAUCGCUGAUGGUCCGUGAAGAUUUUCGUGAAACUCAAAUUUGUGAAGUAAUCGACCUUCGAGAGCAACUGAAGGCAAAAUUCUCAAGCCAGGAUGACUUUUAAAGCUACUCAAGAUUAAACCGAUCUUCGCAGCGCUUCAACCAAUCAAACUUUUAUUUUUUCCUCCACCCCUACAGGGGCGGUGCCCCUGUACGGGUGGAGGCCCCCUCCUAUGCCCUGUUCCAUAGGUCCUAGGACCUAUGGACAGGUGCGUGGGAGGGGUGUAAACUAAUUAAAUUCUAACCUCUAGAGCAUGUUAAUGGACAAAGUAAGAAACUUAAUGAUGCUUCCGCUGUCCAUGAACUCUUAGUUUAUGAAGAAGUGUGAAUCGAACUUGGCAUUACUCAUGUACUUCACUUAAUACUAUGGGUUCUCUUGCACUGAUGGUUCGAUGGUAUAAAUAAUAGUUUGACAUGUCAGAAAAGUUGUCAACGAUGCACAUGUAAAUAUGAACUUCCUACUUUCACCAAUUUUUAGAGUUGCGAACUGGUAAGUUUUCGUUUUAUAUAAAUAACUGAAUAAGUAUCUUAAGAAAGUUUAACUAAACCUGGUAAAACAUUUAAGCUCUAUGAAUUUGAAAUUUACUUGUAAAACCAUUUCGAAACCAAAGGUCAAACCAUAUAAAACCUCACUUAGUAAUAUUUUAGUUUUUUAAAUGACAAUAACAUAACUUUUGGUAUGGUUUAGAAAUUGUGAAUGCUUAUGGGAUUGAAAAUAUUGAUUUUUGUAAUUAUAAAUUGACAGAUUUAGUCUGCUAAUUAGGUUGUGUGGUAUGUGUGUGCGUGUUAAAACAAAUUAGCUACUCUUCCUCUUGUUGAAAAUCUGUUGCGUGGAAUGGAAGCCAAUGAAGGAGUCUUCUGAAUUUGUCAAUCUUAAUAUUGGCGCCCUUGUAAAUAUACUAUGUUCCCUUGGAGAUUAAAAUGCUGGGUACUUGUCAAUGAAUUAUCGACAUAUUCUUAAUCUAUUUUCCUCAACUGAGCCGAUUAAUGCAUAUGGUUAUAAUCUUAGUCAGAAUCGCAAAAUCUAUAAUGGCUUAAGAUAAAGGUGGUGAAAGUUAUCCUUCAAAGGAUUCUGUAAGUGGUAACGAUGUCAACAAGUGAACUGAAGACUGUUUACUGAGCAUGUAUGAAGCCUUAAUGUCGAAUUAUCUGAGUUUACCUUGUGUAUCUUAAAUGGUAAUCUCACUCCAUAUUGAAAAGAUUCCUGUAGACUGUUAUGGUUUGAUAUACUAAUAAAUGAGAUUGAUAGCAUAGAUGGUUGGGCAUUGGAGACAAUGUAUUGAAAUUGGUUUAUGGACAAACUGAGGUAAAGCUUUUAAUCUACCCCUUAAGUCUUUUACAUGGAGUUAUUUGUAGAUUACCAUGGAUUAUGAAAAUGCCAGAAGUAAAGUAAAAGCAAAUAGCAGAUUAUGCAUAUUACUUGGAUAUGGGUAUAAAGAUAUAAUAAAAAUGGAGCGAUUAUGUACUGUUUAAGGAGUUGGAUGGAAAAGUGUAAUAGAUAUAAGUGAAGAAAAUAUAUGUAAGGCGAAAUAAAAAUAUAGAUAUCUAAAAAAUUUAAAAAGCAACCUAAAACAGGACAGUUCAGAUACUUAGUAAAUAAAGUAAAGAACAAGGAAUAAAAUAUUGUAAAGGCUACCUGA